rnacentral:sRNA from 1 species
GGAAAUAAGGUUACAGAGUGCCACAUGUGUGGGCGAGACAAGGUCUCCAUAGGGUGGGAACCAGGCAGAACUCAGACAUGGCUCAUUCUUUUAGUUUCUGCUCCAUUUUCUUAGUGGUCAAAAUGAGAAACAAAGGAUAAAUGCCCAGCACUAGCAAAAAAGAGGGAACUGUGAUAUUUAGAGAUGGGGAGGAGGGAAAGGUUACCGACUAGCAUCGAAAUGAAUUUCCCAUUCUCCUUUACUAUUGUCGUCUUUCACAAACUCCCAGUGUGUCUAGAGAUAAAACCCCAACAUUUACUGUAGGGGUGCGUUUUUCCAAGGAGAUCCAAGGAUGUGAACUCUGUCUAUGGAAAGUGAAUGUCCAAAGGUAUGCAGGAAACAUUGACUAUAGCAAAGGCUUGCAAAGGGGCAACAACAUGGUGGGUGCAAGUGAAACAGAAAAAAAUGAGCCCAUCUUGGAGAAACUUUCUUGCCCUCUGUCUGGUGAUUUCUGUAGGCUUUUGCCUGGAUUCAUCCUGAUGGUAAUAAUUUCAGGAACUGAGUAGAACUGUCUCCUGAGAUGCUCCAUCCAGUCGCAGAUGGAAACAGACGCAGAGACACACAGCCAAUCAUCAGAGGGACUUAUAGCUCCGGAGUUUGGUAGAAGCUCCAGAGUGAGUUGUAGAGGUCACAGACCACACACGAAUUACAGAGUCAAUGAACUCUGUCCUGUCGGGGUUCACAGAGACUAAACCACUAACCAAAGUGCAUACAGGUGCUGGACUUAACCCCCUCAGCAUUUGUAGCAGAAGCACAGAUCGGUCUUUCUUGGGUCCCCUAACAAUUGGAGUAGGGGAUGUCUCUGACUCCGUUGCCUGCCUGUGGACCCUUUUCCUCUAGCUGAACUGCUUGGUCAGGCCUGUGUGGGAGAGAACGCAGUUAUUUGCUGCUACUUGAUGUUCCAAGGAGAGGUGGUACCCAACGGGGGUUUCCCCUUCUCUAAGGAGAAGGGAAGGAUUUGUAAGAGUAGGAUUUAAAGAAGAGGGGGCAGGCUGUGAUCCAUAUGUAAAGCGAAUAAAUAAAUUAAUUAAUAGAAAAGUGAAUUAAGAUCAGUUCAAUAGAAAAAAAAGAAAAGAAAGGUCAAUAGUAAAACUAAAAAACUGGGCUACAAGAGAAGUGUAAAACAUCAUGAAAAGAUCUAAGGUUUAAAUUUUAGGCAGACACUAUUAGGAAAACACUAUUGCAAAAGCAUAGAAAAUUCUUUCAAUAAAUUUAUAUACAAAAGGUGCUCUACAAAGGAUGCUGGAGAAAAUAUUUCAGACUAAAGAGGAUAAACAUCUCCAAGGCAGACAAACAUGAUAAAUAUACAACACCAGCACAGUUCCAAUAGGUCUAAGAAAAUUGACAAAACAACAGGAAUAAUGAUAUAACUUUCAAUAAUAACCAAAGAAUGGUUUCAAUUUCCUUAUGAUAAAGAAGAGCAGAUUUUAUUAAAAAUAGGAUAUUUCUUUUUGCUAACCUCAGGAAACACACCUCACUAUUUUUAAUGCACAACGCACUAGAAGAAAUGGGUAAAAAGAGGUGUUCUAAGCAAAUAGAAUUAGGAAAAAGAAGACAUAGCUGUUUACUAUCUGACAAAGCAGAGUACAAACUAUAACUUCUCAGAAGAAAUCAAGCAUUCUUAAAUGCUUAAAUUAAGCUUAAAUAAAGGUCAUGCCAUACUCACUAAAGAAACAAUCCACUUAAAAGAUAUUUCAGUUCUAAACUGAUAGGCAAAACAAGUAGAUCAAGUUUCAUUUAAAAAAAAACGAAACACACAUACAAAAAAGCCCAUCUUAUUAUUCUAUAUGAAACCGCAUAAUAACAGAGAGAGAGUGAUUCACUUCAGUUCUCGUCACUACUACAAAAGUCAUCUGGACAGAAACUAACCAGGGAAAUAUCUGAAUUAAAUGACACCAUAAAUCUAAUAGACCUAACAGAAUAGCUUCAUAACAUGUCACCCAAACACUAAAAAAUAUACGUGAUUUUCAUCAAAUUAUGGGAUUUUCUCUAAAAUGGACCAUGUAUUAGAAUAAAAAGCAAACCCCUUUCAAAAAAUAUAGAAAAAUUGAAAUAAUGGCCUAUAUUCUCUGUGGUCACAGUGGAGUAGAACAGCUAUAGCGGACAGAAAACAUGCAAAUCUCUAGUGACUAUACAACAUACUUUUCAAAGAUAGUUGAGUCACUAAAGAAAUAAAGGCGAUAUUUUCAAAUCCUAGACUAGAAUAAAACAGAAAUAUAACACACCAAUACCUUAGGAAGGAAAUGUACUAAGUCCCAAUAGAAAUUUUUAUGGCACUUUGCUCCCACAUCAAAAGAAUUGAAAAAAAAAUUCACAUUAAGAAUUCAACAAUACAUCUAAAUAUUUUGGCAAAAUAAGAACAAAUGGAAACCCAAUGAAGUAGAGAGAAAGAAAUAACCAAGACCAGGGUAGAAAUUAACAGAAUAUUAGAUAAAUUCCAAAUAUAGUCUAAAAUAGAGACAGUAUACAAUAUGUAAACUUAAUUUCAGAGUAUAUUCAAUAUCCACUUCAAGUCAAUGAUUCUCAAAACAGUGGCCUAAACCUCAUCCAUGCUGCCAUAAGAAAUCUGGACUCUUGCUGUCUAUAUUAGAUCUUUAGGUAAUUUUAUUAUUCACUAAAGUUUGGGACUACUGCUUGAAAUGCUGUAAAAUUGGGUUAAUUUUGAGUUAAACUUAUUUUGUAAUUGGGUAAUAAAGUUUGGCCUUCAGUGACCUCCAUAUAUGCCAUAUUCUUUCCUAACUUUAUGUAUAAACAAACUGUUAACCAAGCAUACACCCUUCUUCCCAAGCACCUGAAUCCUAGCGAAUCACAGCUGCUAACCCUGCCAAAAUGGGACACGGGGUGCAAACUGUACCAAGAGAUAAUCUCUGCACAUCACCUCUGUUUUCUGAUUAUAAACGUAGUUUACCAUACUGGAGGUGGAUAUUGUGAGGCAUCUACAUUUUGAAAUGCUUUAUCAUUUGAGACCCGUUUUUGCUCAAGUAAACUGUGUUAAAUUUAACUAGCCUAGGGUUUCUUUUUCUCGAUAGUGCUUCCAGAUUUCAAUUUAUUUUAGUUCCUAUAAACUCCUCCAUGCAGUGGGCCCGGCAGGACCAGCAUUCAGAUGAUUUAGAACCUAUACAUACACAGAAACAUCAUGUGUAUCUUAGUUGUUGGGGACAUAAUAAAAGACAUGAUGAUUUGGACUCAAUUAUCUACUGUACGCAUAAAGUCGUUCUCUUCAUGUUAAUAACAUCCCUAAGUUAUGCUAAUGAUUUCCUACUAUGAAAUAACAAGCAAUCAGAUUCCAAAAAAUUUAAUAAGUGGCUUUCAUUUACUUCUUGUGAUUAUGUUUUAUAAAAUAAAUAAUGUUCUGUUUGAAAACUUUGUAAAAUUAAAAUUGUUUUAGAGGCAGAUUUGAAACUCUGUCCACACUGAUACUGUACCUCAGUAGAUUUCUAUCAAAUGUGUGCUUAUUGCCAAUAUUUAUUGUAAAAUAUGCACAAGAUGUUUGAUUUAAAUGCAUAUUUAUUUGCUAAAUACUAGCAUUUUCUUUGCAUCUUUCAAAAUUCUAUGGGAGAAUUAUCAGUUGCUGUAAGUGGGCAUUGGUUUGUCUUUGCGUGUACAUGUAAGUAUAUGCUUAUGUGUGAAUAUGUAAGUGUGCAUGUGUUUAUGUGUGUAUAUAUAUUUAUAUUUGA